UACGUAGGGGGCAAGCGUUGUCCGGAAUCAUUGGGCGUAAAGCGCGUGUAGGCGGUUCGGUAAGUCCGCUGUGAAAGUCGGGGGCUCAACCCUCGAAAGCCGGUGGAUACUGUCGGGCUAGAGUACGGAAGAGGCGAGUGGAAUUCCUGGUGUAGCGGUGAAAUGCGCAGAUAUCAGGAGGAACACCAAUUGCGAAGGCAGCUCGCUGGGACGUUACUGACGCUGAGACGCGAAAGCGUGGGGAGCAAACAGGAUUAGAACCGGUACGGU
rnacentral:rRNA from 1 species